rnacentral:lncRNA from 1 species
AGGAAUUCACAAGUCGAAUCACCUCCAGAUCUUCGAUAAUGUCGUGCAGUUGUGUGUCCGCCGUGAUGAACGAGGAGCAACAGCAGCAGAAGUCUCAAGUCUGAAGCGUAAUACAUUUAAUUUAUGGACUGUCUUUGGGACCGACAACCGUGCAUGUUAAGGCGCCAGUCUUUACAACACCACUGUUCCUUAUUCCCGUUGAAAACUAUUGCGCAGUCAUAUUCUUUUAUGUGGUCGUCAAGAAACAUCAAUUUGUCACUGAAGUUUCUUUUUCUUUUCUUUCUAAUUUAUACACAGCAGUUUAUAAAUCCUUAGUGACUAAAGCAGUCCAAUUCAUUUUUAAAAACUUACUCAAAGUGUAACAAAAUAAAAGCUGACAAAACUG